ACCACGGAAGGGUGCCAGCUCUUCGGAGACACGUUCCUCAGACUGAAGGGGAAGGUUCCACAGUGAUGGAAAAGGAAAAUGAUUCAAAUUCCAGCUCUUUGCCAUCACCAUGAGAAGAAUAUACCCUGGCUACCUACUGGUUCCAAAAGGAGAAUGAAGAACACGUAACGCAGAACCACCCCAGCAAACCCAAAGACAUAACUGAUAAGGUCAUCUAGACUAAAGAAGAUUCCCAGUCUCCCUUCAAGCUAGUGCUCUUUGGAAAGAAGACAGUAUGAGUAGCUCCCACUUAAAGUGGAUGACCAUUUUCCUUCCUGAACCAAGAAGAGUGGGGCAAUCUGAUGGGAACUUUCUUAUCUCCUGCUUGGCCCAUUACUAGACCCCCAAAUUUAGAAACAAUAUCCAUAUCUACCCUUCUUUACUCACUUCUCUCCUGGUGUCUUCUCAGUGAUUUCCAGUAGUGCCGUCAGAAAUAAUCAUGUUGUGGACAUUAUUUAAAAUUGUCUUCGCAUGGUCCCCACCUGUGGAUAUCCAACAAUUUUUGAAAUCCAGCUCAAAUGUCACUAUCUCUCUUCUCUUGACACCCUCCACAUACC